rnacentral:piRNA from 1 species
UACUUAUAUGAAUAAAGUGAAGACAGGGA